AUUGAACGCUGGCGGCAUGCCUUACACAUGCAAGUCGAACGGUAACAGGUCUUCGGAUGCUGACGAGUGGCGAACGGGUGAGUAAUAUAUCGGAACGUGCCCAGUCGUGGGGGAUAACGCAGCGAAAGCUGUGCUAAUACCGCAUACGAUCUAUGGAUGAAAGCGGGGGAUCGCAAGACCUCGCGCGAUUGGAGCGGCCGAUAUCAGAUUAGCUAGUUGGUGGGGUAAAAGCUCACCAAGGCGACGAUCUGUAGCUGGUCUGAGAGGACGACCAGCCACACUGGAACUGAGACACGGUCCAGACUCCUACGGGAGGCAGCAGUGGGGAAUUUUGGACAAUGGGCGCAAGCCUGAUCCAGCAAUGCCGCGUGCAGGAUGAAGGCCUUCGGGUUGUAAACUGCUUUUGUACGGAACGAAACGGUGAGCUCUAAUAAAGCUUGCUAAUGACGGUACCGUAAGAAUAAGCACCGGCUAACU
rnacentral:rRNA from 1 species